UCCGCAGGCGGGCAAUUAAGUCAGGGGUGAAAUGGUGCGGCUCAACCGUAGCACUGCCCUUGAUACUGGUUGUCUUGAGUCAUAGUGAAGUGGCCGGAAUAUGUAGUGUAGCGGUGAAAUGCAUAGAUAUUACAUAGAACACCGAUUGCGAAGGCAGGUCACUAACUAUGUACUGACGCUGAUGGACGAAAGCGUGGGGAGCGAACAGGAUUAGAUACCCUGGUAGUC
rnacentral:rRNA from 1 species